UAUACUUGCUCUGUAGUAAAAUAUUUGUGUGUUUUAUCGCUAUUCAGUUCUAGUACAUUUCCAAAGUAAUAUUAUUAUUUAUUGCUCUUCAAAAUGUGUAUCAAAUUAAUAAUGAACAAUUAUUACUGAACAAAGGAAAUAAUAUAAUUAGAUAAGAGAGAAGAGAGAAUGAACGAGUUAUUUGGGGGAGUUGGAGGAAAAGGAAAAGGCUGAUUGGAGAAACAUAAUCUUUUAAGGCGAGUAGAUCUGGAAUGAUCUUGAAGGAUAUAAUUGCCAUUUUCUGUGAUAUUUAAUUUUGUUGUACUUGUUCACAAACUUCUCUCCACGUGGAGAAAUGUUAAACAUAAGUACCGAAAUAUCUCUUUCUAGAAAUUUCCUCUUCUGCUUUACAUAAAUUUUUAGGUUUCACCUUCUCCAAAGAUUUCAUCAUAUUGCUUACCGAAGUGUUAGAUCUUGCUUCAUCUAUUCUUGUGGUUCAGUUAAUUUUGAACAAUGUCUAAUUCUGCUAAAAGGAUGAACAGUACAUUAAAGGCAAUUUUGGUGUUUCACAUCUAUUUUAUUUUAUUAUAAAAAUUCUAUCACCGUUGUGGUAUAUUUCCUCCAUAAGUCACCUGAUUUUUCUAGAAACCACAACUUAAGUGAUUUUUCUAGAAUUACUAGGUGUUCGACACAAAUAAAUAGGCACCAACCAAGUUCACUCUUCUCUCCUCUGUUCUCUUGUACCGUUAACUGGUAAGUUCCUCUUCCUUUCUAUUCUUUCACUCUUUAUUUUUUAUUCAAUUUUGGAAAAUAAUGAUUUGUGUGAUUGUAAUCUAUAUUGUUUGAUCUUUGCUGCUUUGUGAAUGUUUUUCGGCAAAUAGCAUACAAAAAAAGAAUAAUAAUUUACAUAUGACUUCAUGUUCUUUCAAAUAAAUAGUAAAAGUCAGUUGUUGUCUCAUACUUGCAUAUAAUUUUAAGUGGACUGCAAGCAUUUGAGAGUUGCAUUGUAAUUUUUUUUCUUAAAUCAUAGCUAUGGAAGAGGAGGGAUGGGGAUGAGGAGUUGGGGAAAAAUCUAGCAAAAUUCUAUAUCAAUUCUACUUGCUUGCUCAUGUAGUAGUACAAAAAAGGACAUGAUAUUAAUAUAAGAUGUUUCAUCCUUAUCAUAGUUAUAGGAGAUGUGGAGUUAGAAGAGUUAGGGAAAAAAUGUACAAAAAUUCUAUAUAGAAUUGAUAUCAGUUCUAUUUGCUUGCUUAGGUAGUACAAAUAUAAGAUGUCUCAUCCUUAUCAUAGUUAUGGGAGACGUACGUGGAGUUAGAGGAGUUGGGGAAAAAUCUACAGAUAUUCUAUAGAGCGUUGACAUUAGUUUUAUGAGUCAUUUAGCUCAAUAAUUGUCGUUUGCUAACUCUGCUCGAAUUAUAGAACAACAGUUAAGUUAUUCUAUCAACAUAUUUCUUUCGGAGUCUCUUCAGACUCUCUCAUUUCAUGGUCUUUGCUUGACAUUUUUUGUCUAUCGGUGGAAGGAACUACUGAAACUUUGAGUUGAAAAUUCAUUUAAAAAUAAGAAGUCAAGGGUUAGUUGCUGGCAGACAGUUGCUUCAUGUUUUAUUGUGCAUCAUUUUGGUUCUCCUUUUCAGUUUCAUUCUUCUCUUAGCUAUUUCUUUAAUUCUCUAAACCAGCGGCACUAUUGUAUAUUUUUAUCUCUUCAAUUGAGUUGCAUUUCUAGAUUACAUACAUUGUAUGCCCCUUUUUUUUUCUUCAAAAAUACAGUACAGUACUGUUAGUUUCAUUUAACAAUUAAGAUUGAAGCAGCAAAUCAACACAAAUUGAUUCUCUUUUUGUUUAAUUCUGUACAUUGAUACCCAAAUCAUAAUGGUUAUGUGUUGUAUGAAAGGGAAUAUUGUUACUUUCUAGCAAGUUAAAUGGAUCACUAACUGUGUUCAAGUCAACGAUAAUGAGGUCUGCCUUCUUUUUAUAUAACUACUUGUUCAUGGUCCACUCUAGAGAACAACUAAUGAGAUUUAAUGAUCACAUAUGUUGUUGUGAAUACCAGUGUUCCUAUUACUAUAAUUAGCUCCAGUGCAAGUUCAAUACUAAGAACCACAUUCUUUUUCUGUCAUAACCAAGGUUUAACAAAUCUAUCAAAUAGAUUUGUUUUUUCUGAAAAUACUAUAUAGAGUUUAUUUGUUUUGGUAUAUCGAUACUAUAGAGUGUAGUCUAAAACAUCUAUUCGAGCACCAAUUUUUAAAGCAAAAGGGAGGUGAGUUUUACCGGCAAGCAGUAUAGAGCAUUCUUUAACUGGUUUUUAUUUAUUAUCUUACAAAUCACAAGUUUCAUCCUUGUAGAAUUCUUUCUUGCAGAUCUUCUUCCAAGUGGAACCAAGCAAUGAAAAUUGUUGUUAAUUACUAGAUUCUUUCUUUGACGUCUAAGCCAGAGCUUAUUGUUGUUCAACUUCUUUUUAGAUAUAUACUAAAUGAAUUAAAGCAGUCAAAAAAGAAAAUAGAGGUACUAUAUAUGCAUGAAACUUCAGGUGAUUGUCAUGUCUCAAUCUCAAGAUUCAUGUUCAUAAGUUGCGCAAAAAGUAUCUAAUAUGAGAUGAAACCUCUUACAAAGGGCUAUCACAUUUCGCGGUGCUUGAGCAAGAGAUACUGAAACUCUGAAAUGACUUGCUGACGCUAAUAAUUAUUACUAUUUAUUGUUUUUGUUAAGAGUAGAAGAUUGAUCUUAUCUUACAUUGACGUAGCUCAUGACUGCUUAUGCUUCAUUCAUCAGUAUGAAUUAGAGAGAGAAGCUUGCCAUGGAAUUGAUGUAGGAUAGGAGAUCACGGAAAGAGUGAGAACAAUGUUGAAAUAUGUAAAUUCAGCUCUUGUGUGAACUUCCUUAGACCAUCUUGUCUCUUUGGAUUGUCCCGAGUUUAGCACUUGUUUACAGUUUCAGGUGACACUCUACUUAGGACACGAUGAAAUUCUUGGAUUUCAUCUAAAUCAAUCCGUGCUUUUGGUUUGGUUUGCCAUUUUGUUAAGUAUUACUCCAAUUUUGAAGCCUAAAUUGUUUUGGGAGUCGAUCUUCAGGUCUGUGUUGUGGUGAUUAUUGUCUUUAUGUGUGUUUCAACCUUUUUAACUUUGGUAAGUGCCAUCUUCUAAAGGAUUUUUGAUAGAAUCUGAUAAUUCUGCAAGAACAUAAAAUUGGUGUUUUGAUGAUAGACAAGAAAUGCAAAUAAUUGUCGUAGCAAAUUGACGCAGCCAAGUAUUGCAGCCAUCGGAAGUAAUUGUCACAACCAAAAUUAAUUAAAUGUACAAGUGCUAAAGAUGCUGAAGAUACAAGUUGAUACAUAUAAGGAAACCUUAAUAUAUUUAUUAAGUAAGGAAGUUGUAUAUAAAAAGGAUUGUACAAUAAAAGGUAAAAUCAGUACUCCUUGUUUAAAUACAAUUACAAUUUCCUUACCUUAUUUGAUAAGGACUCAAGGUGCGAUAAAGCAGCAGAAAUAUCUAUAAAGGGAGAUCAAACGCAGAAGAGCAAAACACGGCUUUUACAUAGAGAGAAAAGCGAGAGUUAUUCAUCAUGUAAAAGCCUUCAAGAUCGAUAGGUUUUCUAAGUUCAAGAAGUUCUUGAGUUAGAAAGUCUUGAACGUGUAAAACUAUUUUCUUGAUUCGUUGUUGAGUUGUUAGUUACAUUUCUUUAUACAAGAAGUGGGUUUGGCUUCUUGUAGAGUUGAGCUUUGGUGAGGUUUGUAACAAAAGGUGGGUUUGGCCUUUUGGAGAGUAGAAGUAGUCGAUUAUAGUUAAUCGAGAGUUGUUGUAGUGGGUGAGGUUAUUGAUUAUUGAGUUGUAAUCAUAAAAUUAUCUAGUUAAAUUAAUAAAACGAGGUUUUUCCUUCCUU